CCCUUAGAUGUUCUGGGCGGCCCGCGCACUACAAUGGCGUGUGCAGCGAGUGCCGAAGUAGAGUUUUCCGAGGUAUUCUUGCAAUGCUCGUUUUGAUGGGGAUAGGCCCUUGCAACUGUUGGUUUUGAACGAGGAAUUCCUUGUAAGCAUGGUUUAUCAUCCGACGCUGAAUGCGUCCCUGCCCUUUGUACACACCGCCCGUCGCUCCUACCGAUGAGUCGUCCGGUGAAGUUCGUAGACCUCGUGAUCGCGGAUCACUGGGGGAAGCAAAAUGAACCUCGCGGUUUAGAGGAAGGAGAAGUCGUAACA
rnacentral:rRNA from 1 species